CCUCAACGGCUGGAAAUGCAGACGACGAUGUAGAGAAAGCCCCCAUAAACGGGGUUUUUUAUAUCCUAAACAAUAAAAUGCUAAGAAAUCGAA